rnacentral:rRNA from 1 species
UAAGGAAUAUUGGUCAAUGGACGCAAGUCUGAACCAGCCAUGCCGCGUGGAGGAUGAAGGUCCUCUGGAUUGUAAACUUCUUUUAUUUGGGAAGAAACCACCGAUUUCUAUUGGUGUUGACGGUACCAGAUGAAUAAGCACCGGCUAACUCCGUGCCAGCAGCCGCGGUAAUACGGAGGGUGCAAGCGUUAUCCGGAUUCACUGGGUUUAAAGGGUGCGUAGGCGGGUUGGUAAGUCCGUGGUGAAAUCUCCAAGCUUAACUUGGAAACUGCCGUGGAUACUAUCAAUCUUGAAUAUAGUGGAGGUGAGCGGAAUAUGUCAUGUAGCGGUGAAAUGCUUAGAUAUGACAUAGAACACCCAUUGCGAAGGCAGCUCGCUACACUAUUAUUGACGCUGAGGCACGAAAGCGUGGGGAUCAAACAGGAUUAGAUACCCUGGUAGUCCACGCCCUAAACGAUGAUUACUCGACAUCAGCGAUACACUGUUGGUGUCUGAGCGAAAGCAUUAAGUAAUCCACCUGGGAAGUACGACCGCAAGGUUG